GACGGCUGUGGUGUUUUGGCGCAUGGGCGGAGCCGUAGUUACGGUCUACUGGGGCGUCGUCCCUAGCCCGGGAGCCGGGUCUCUGGAGUCGCGGCCCGAGGUUCACGAUGUCCGACGAGGAAGCGAGGCAGAGCGGAGGCUCCUCGCAGGCCGGCGCCGUGACUGUCAGCGACGUCCAGGAGCUGAUGCGGCGCAAGGAGGAGAUAGAAGCGCAGAUCAAGGCCAACUAUGACGUGCUGGAAAGCCAAAAAGGCAUUGGGAUGAACGAGCCGCUGGUGGACUGUGAGGGCUACCCCCGGUCAGACGUGGACCUGUACCAAGUCCGCACCGCCAGGCACAACAUCAUAUGCCUGCAGAAUGAUCACAAGGCAGUGAUGAAGCAGGUGGAGGAGGCCCUGCACCAGCUGCACGCUCGCGACAAGGAGAAGCAGGCCCGGGACAUGGCUGAGGCCCACAAAGAGGCCAUGAGCCGCAAACUGGGUCAGAGUGAGAGCCAGGGCCCUCCACAGGCCUUCGCCAAAGUGAACAGCAUCAGCCCCGGCUCCCCAGCCAGCAUCGCGGGUCUGCAAGCGGAUGAUGAGAUUGUGGAGUUCGGCUCUGUGAACACCCAGAACUUCCAGUCACUGCAUAACAUUGGCAGUGUGGUGCAGCACAGUGAGGGGGCUGGAGUGCAAUGGCGUGAUCUCAGCUCACUGCAACCUCCGCCUCCCAGAUUCAAGCGAUUCUCCUGCCUCAGCCUCCCAAGUAGCUGGGACUACAGAAAACUUCGCACAUUAGAGCAACACAGGUGUCCUUUUAGAAAAUAUUAUCGGCCGGGCGCGGUGGCUCACACCUGUAAUCCCAGCACUUUGGGAGGCUGAGAAGCCCCUGAAUGUGACAGUGAUCCGCAGGGGGGAAAAACACCAGCUUAGACUUGUUCCAACACGCUGGGCAGGAAAAGGACUGCUGGGCUGCAACAUUAUUCCUCUGCAAAGAUGAUUGUCCCUGGGGAACAGUAACAGGAAAGCAUCUUCCCUUGCCCUGGACUUGGGUCUAGGGAUUUCCAACUUGUCUUCUCUCCCUGAAGCAUAAGGAUCUGGAAGAGGCUUGUAACCUGAACUUCUGUGUGGUGGCAGUACUGUGGCCCACCAGUGUAAUCUCCCUGGAUUAAGGCAUUCUUAAAAACUUAUGCUUGGCCUCUUUCACAAAUUAGGCCACGGCCCUAAAUAGGAAUUCCCUGGAUUGUGGGCAAGUGGGCGGAAGUUAUUCUGGCAGGUAGUGGUGUGAUUAUUAUUAUUAUUUUUAAUAAAGAGUUUUACAGUGCUGAUAUGACCCUGUUGUCACCCCAGCUGAAUUUCUUAUGACCCUCCCAAACCAAAGCUCAGAUGGGGUCAGAAGAGCUUCAUAGAAAGUUGGGCAAAACAGGCUAGCAAUUGUGAAGUCAGGCUUUGACCAACAUAUUUCUUUGCACUGAGGCCUUGCUGCUGUGGAUACGGAAAUUGUUAAGUACUGUGCUUCCUCAGCAGCUGGGCUGUCAGGGCCAUAGUAGCUCCCUUUGGAGAACAGGGAAAGCCUGGAGGCUUCCCAGGUGGCCCAGCAUGGUGUAGUGUCAGCUUCCUCUUUAGGAACCCACCAGAGGGCAGCAAGCUCCUUUCACUUCGGUAGUAAGAACCCCUCUGUUUUUGUGUGUUUUUGUUUUUGUUUUCUGGAGACAAGGUCUUGCUUUGUCACCCAGGCUGGAGUGCAGUGUCGUGAUCAAGGUUCACUGAAGCCUUGACCCUGUGGGCACUGCCUCAGCCGCCCAAGUAUCUGGGACCACAGGCGUGCACCAUCAUGCAUAGCUAAUUUAUUUUUUGUAGAGACAGGGUCUCCCUGUGUUGACCAGGUUGGUCUCGAACUCCUGGGCUCAAGCAGUCCUCCUGCCUUGGCCUCCUAAAGUGCUGGGAUCACAGGCGUGAGCCACUGUGCCCAGCCCACUGCUAGUUUGACUUUUUAUAAUUGAACCUCCUGGCUAUGCCCUGAGAUCAGCGCUAUUUUGUAAACCGCUGAGGUAUGGAUAGGAACAAGUAGAUCAGACCUCUUGAAAAUGCUUAUUCUUCCUCCCUUUUAUUUUUUGUCUCUUUUAAGAUGGUAAAAUGGUUCUCAGGGAUUCCUGCCGAUGCUUUGAAUUAUUUUUUCCUCUCCAUGGUAUCAGUGUUCAUUUCCCCAGUUCUUGCACACCGCUUUCUGUUUUGGCAGUUCUGCCAGGCAAGCCCUGUGUUCCUUGGGCCUGGUUUUGCUGUGGUUGGAUACAGAUACCAGCUUGCCUUGAUGGGAUUGGUAUUGCUGUGUGCUUCCAGCCACAGGUUCUCACAGUCAAUUCCAAAGCCCUCCUAUUGGGCGAAUUCCCUCAAACUCUAUUUGACCUGACAGUCAUACGUAUUCCCCUCUGGUAGCCACAGACAUGCUGUGUUUACCAAUGUUUGCUGUUUAAAUUGCAUGUUCUAAUUCCACGUAUUUUCCAGUCUCUUUAUAAAGUCUCAGACUAUAAUAAACACAGCUUGCCCAGUU